rnacentral:rRNA from 1 species
UACAGAGGUCCCGAGCGUUGUUCGGAUUCACUGGGCGUAAAGGGUGCGUAGGUGGUGAGGUAAGUCGGAUGUGAAAGCUCGGAGCUCAACUCCGAAAUGGCAUUGGAAACUACCUUGCUCGAGGGUUGGAGGGGGGACUGGAAUACUUGGUGUAGCAGUGAAAUGCGUAGAUAUCAAGUGGAACACCAGUGGCGAAGGCGAGUCCCUGGACAACUCCUGACACUGAGGCACGAAAGCUAGGGGAGCAAACGGG